rnacentral:lncRNA from 1 species
CUGGCUGUCCUGGACUCCCUAUAUAGACCGACCAGACUGGUCUUAAAAUCACAGCGAUCUGCUAGUAUCAUCUGAGUGCUGGGAUUUAAGUUUGUAUAUCACCAUUCCUGGCCUUCAGGUGUUGAACUCGUUAGGUUAGCGGCAACCAUCGUAACCUGCAGAUCUUCUCACUGGCCCCUAGUUAGAUUUUAAAAAAGUGUUUAAGUAAUAAGGAAUUAAAAUAGCCCACUGAUACAUGCUUAUAGACCAAUUCAUCGUAUGUUUUGUAAAGUUGCAGGAAUGGCGAUUACACUAAAUUGCAAACUAAAUGGACUGAAUCCUUUUCCUAUUUUAACCAAAAACAUUUUGAAUACCCGACAAGGUAAGUUUGAUCUCAUUGUUCUUGGAGAUAUGUUUUAUGAUGAAGACCUUGCAGACAGUCUUCACUUGUGGCUGCAAAACUGCUUUUGGGCCUAUGGAACUCGAGUACUGAUUGGUGACCCUGGGAGGCCCCAGUUCAGUGGACACAGCAUUCAGCAUCAACUGUACCAACUAGCAGAAUACACACUUCCAGAGCCAACCCAGCAAGAUAACAAUGGACUGACCACAAGUGCAGUAUGGGAUUUUCAUCCCUGAUUUGUCAAAGGGCUUUCAAGUAUGAAUAUAGUUCUGUUUGUAUUAAGUUCUAAACAUUUCCGCUGUAGGAGUUACUCGACAGUUUAAAGAAUGCAAUUCAGUGGGGCGUGGUGGCGUGGGCCUUGACUACUACCACUUAGAAGGCUGAGGUAGGCUCAUCUCUUUGACUCUGAGGCCAGCUUGGUCUAUAGUGAGUUCAAGGACAGCGAGAGUAAUAUAGUAAGACCAUAUUUCAAAAAUUGAUAGAAUAGCUAGAUAAUAAAUUUCUUCAUUCCUUUGCUAUGACACCUUGGAUAGCUCUGUAUGGUUUACUAAAGUUAGUUAGGGUUAUGUUCCCAUUUCACAUAGCAGAGUGUCAGGAUUUUAUAAGAAAACACUGUGUCACGUACAAUUGAUUGUGCAGAUGGUAUGUUUAUAUAUGAUGGAUGUAAUAUGCAUAGUUUGCUUCAGGAUUAAUAAAAUAUCUCUGGAAAGAU